GGCCAAAUGUCUGCAAGCCUGAGCCCAAGUCCGCUGGAGGAAUUGGAAUCAUCGUUGUAUUUUUGUCUUAUUUCCUUGUGAUUCCUGGAGUCAGUGUUAAAGAGAAUCUAUCUAUGGAUACGAGGAGUAAAAAUCUUUACAUUACAUCUCCGUCUGAACGUGCAAGGUGCAAAUCACAGGAAUUUGUACAGGGCCAAUGGUGGAUGUUUUGAAGCAGGAGGGCACUCUACACUGGGAGAGGGAGAGAUUACAAAUAUCUGUAACCACACCUGCCUGUUGUGCUGCACUCAUCCUGAGUACCUGUCCUCGGAUGCCGUCCGGUCCUGCAUCCUCGCGACCGUCUGCUGGUUGGAAACACCUGCGUACCUCAGUCUCAGAGAUGACCAAGGUGCAGGUCACUUCAGCGGCUCUCCUCGGGGGCUCAGUGUUGGCGACAUCAAACCGAGCGUAAAAGUGAUUUAGCUCGUCUGGGAGAGAGGCAGCAAUGUUGACAGCACCAUUGCAGUUAGUUUUGAAGUUUGCGAUGAUGUGCAGACCUUGCCAUAAGCUGUGUGUGUAUGGUGGACGGUUGUGUCUAGUUUCUCCCUGUAUUGUUGUUUCACUGCCUUGAUGACUUUGUGUAGAUCGUAGCUGCAUUUCUGGAGUUCCUGUUGGUUACUGGUGGUGAACGCUCUGUUUCGCACAAUGCAAAUGGAACUGUGGAUCUAGGGUUUCCGGUUUGCAUAGACCUUGACCGAUUUUUGGGGGACAACAUCAUUGGUGCACUUCCGGGUGAAGCUUGUGACCGCUUCUAUGAAAUCAGAGACAUCCUCAUCACAAAAUACAUUCCAGCUGACAUCAUCCAAACAGUCCUGUAGUAUGGAGACUGAUUUGCUGGACCAACAGUGGAUGGUUUUAACUAUGGCUGCCUCUUGUUUCAGCUUCUGCCUGUUCACGGGCAAAACAGGCUGGGGAGCAGUCAGGCUUCCCAAGCGGUGGACGGAGGAGCAUCUUGUAAGUGUUGUGGAAGGGAGAGUAGCAGUGGUCGCGUAUGCCUUCUCCCCAUGUGCUCAUCUAGAUAUGUUGACAAAACUUCAGACAGACUUUAAACAGUGACGCCCAAUUAAAGUCUCUGGCAAAAAUGAAAGCAGCCUCCAGAUAUACAGUCUCCAGGGUGCUGAUGGUCUCGUACAGUUCUGUGAGAGCCAGGUCAGUAUCAGCCUGUGGUGGAAUAUGCACACCAGUGAUAAUAACAGGGUCCUGACCCUGUGUCAAAAAGAGUCCUGACUCCGUCCUAUGUCUAAGGAGGAGCCCUGGCUCAUUGUUUCUUGUCCUCAUCUCUACAGAGUAGGCCUAGCUGUCUGCCGCUACACUGAUUUGGGAACUGUC